AAAUUGAAGAGUUUGAUCAUGGCUCAGAUUGAACGCUGGCGGCAGGCCUAACACAUGCAAGUCGAGCGGUAGCACAGAGAGCUUGCUCUCGGGUGACGAGCGGCGGACGGGUGAGUAAUGUCUGGGAAACUGCCUGAUGGAGGGGAUAACUACUGGAAACGGUAGCUAAUACCGCAUAAUGUCGCAAGACCAAAGUGGGGACCUUCGGGCCUCAUGCCAUCAGAUGUGCCCAGAUGGGAUUAGCUAGUAGGUGGGGUAACGGCUCACCUAGGCGACGAUCCUAGCUGGUCUGAGAGGAUGACCAGCCACACUGGAACUGAGACACGGUCCAGACUCCUACGGGAGGCAGCAGUGGGGAAUAUUGCACAAUGGGCGCAAGCCUGAUGCAGCCAUGCCGCGUGUGUGAAGAAGGCCUUCGGGUUGUAAAGCACUUUCAGCGGGGAGGAAGGCGGUGAGGUUAAUAACCUCAUCGAUUGACGUUACCCGCAGAAGAAGCACCAGCUAACUCCGUGCCAGCAGCCGCGGUAAUACGGAGGGUGCAAGCGUUAAUCGGAAUUACUGGGCGUAAAGCGCACGCAGGCGGUCUGUCAAGUCGGAUGUGAAAUCCCCGGGCUCAACCUGGGAACUGCAUUCGAAACUGGCAGGCUAGAGUCUUGUAGAGGGGGUAGAAUUCCGGUGUAGCGGUGAAAUGCGUAGAGAUCUGGAGGAAUACCGGUGGCGAAGGCGGCCCCUGGACAAAGACUGACGCUCAGGUGCGAAAGCGUGGGGAGCAAACAGGAUUAGAUACCACGGUAGUCCACGCCGUAAACGAUGUCGAUUUGGAGGUUGUGCCCUUGAGGCGUGGCUUCCGGAGCUAACGCGUUAAAUCGACCGCCUGGGAGUACGGCCGCAAGGUUAAAACUCAAAUGAAUUGACGGGGGCCCGCACAAGCGGUGGAGCAUGUGGUUUAAUUCGAUGCAACGCGAAGAACCUUACCUGGUCUUGACAUCCACAGAACUUUCCAGAGAUGGAUUGGUGCCUUCGGGAACUGUGAGACAGGUGCUGCAUGGCUGUCGUCAGCUCGUGUUGUGAAAUGUUGGGUUAAGUCCCGCAACGAGCGCAACCCUUAUCCUUUGUUGCCAGCGGUCCGGCCGGGAACUCAAAGGAGACUGCCAGUGAUAAACUGGAGGAAGGUGGGGAUGACGUCAAGUCAUCAUGGCCCUUGACCAGGGCUACACGUGCUACAAUGGCAUAUACAAAGAGAAGCGACCUCGCGAGCAAGCGGACCUCAUAAAGUAUGUCGUAGUCCGGAUUGGAGUCUGCAACUCGACUCCAUGAAGUCGGAAUCGCUAGUAAUCGUAGAUCAGAAUGCUACGGUGAAUACGUUCCCGGGCCUUGUACACACCGCCCGUCACACCAUGGGAGUGGGUUGCAAAGAAGUAGGUAGCUUAACCUUCGGGAGGGCGCUUACCACUUUGUGAUUCAUGACUGGGGUGAAGUCGUAACAAGGUAACCGUAGGGGAACCUGCGGUUGGAUCACCUCCUUA
rnacentral:rRNA from 1 species